UCAUUGAUAACAAAGUUAAUAAUGUCAAACUAAUCCAAACGACAAGUAAAUUACAUUGUCAAAAUAUAAAUUCUUUCACUUUCAAUCCUAACUUGUCUUAUUGCCUCCACUUGAUCCCAUAAUAUUCUGACUUGAUGAUGCAUCACCACUUCCAACAUCCGGUGCCUGGACUAAAUUAAAAUAUGCUUAGAGUUAAUUAAUAAUUUUUGAAAAAUAAAUGAAAACAAUAUUAUAUUAUGAAAUUCAAGGUAUAAUAUGAGAGAGAAAAAUUAUAUGAAGGCAAUAAAAUUGAAUUAAGGCAGCUAAUAAAAAUCAACAAUUAUAAAUCAAUUAUAAUUUUAGGAUUUACUUUUAGAUUCAUGAGAACUGCAACUGUCUAAAUAAUAAAACAAUAACCAAAUUAAUAUAUCAAUAAUAUAGAUAUUUAAAUAGAAAGAGUUUGAACAUCAAAGGUCAAUAGGGAUGAUAUAUACCAUGUACAUCACACCACUAUGCUUCCCUUCCCUAGACCGUACAAGGGACCAAUAUCAAAUAAAGAGACUUAAGAUCAUGACUAUGGUUGGAUGUGUAAAUUAUAUUUAAUAGAGAAAUAUAAGCAUUACAUGCUAGACCAUGUCAUUCAAAAUUCAUAAUCCAGUAAUAAAAAUAGAAACUCAA
rnacentral:lncRNA from 1 species